rnacentral:lncRNA from 1 species
UAUAUUCUCUCUCCUCUCGACCAAAAAUGACCCAAAUCUCUUUCCUCUGGCUGCUCUGAAACUUCUCUCUCCUCUCACUAUACAAAAUGAAGCUCAUCUCUCCUCUCGUUGCUAUCUUUUAAAGUUUCUCUCUCCCACACAAGGCAUCUGCAGAUCCCACACAAGGCAUCCACAGAUCUCGCACAGAAGGGUUCCCCCUGUCAAGGUAUGGACUCUCUCUCUCUCU